rnacentral:rRNA from 1 species
UACGGAGGAUCCAAGCGUUAUCCGGAUUUAUUGGGUUUAAAGGGUGCGUAGGCGGCCUAUUAAGUCAGGGGUGAAAGACGGUAGCUUAACUAUCGCAGUGCCUUUGAUACUGAUAGGCUUGAAUAUACUUGAGGUAGGCGGAAUGUGACAAGUAGCGGUGAAAUGCAUAGAUAUGUCACAGAACACCAAUUGCGAAGGCAGCUUACUAAAGUAUGAUUGACGCUGAGGCACGAAAGCGUGGGUAGCAAACAGG